AGCAGCCGCGGUAAUUCCAGCUCCAAUAGCGUAUAUUAAAGUUGUUGCAGUUAAAAAGCUCGUAGUUGAAUUUCGGGGUCAGUAGGCUGGUCGUGCCUCCGGUACGUACUGGUCUUACUGAUUCCUCCUUCCUGACGAACCGUAAUGCCAUUAAUUUGGUGUUGCGGGGAAUCUGGACUGUUACUUUGAAAAAAUUAGAGUGUUUAAAGCAGGCUAACGCUUGAAUACAUUAGCAUGGAAUAAUGAAAUAGGACGAUCGAUCCUAUUUUGUUGGUUUCUAGGAUUGACGUAAUGAUUAAUAGGGAUAGUUGGGGGCAUUAGUAUUCAAUUGUCAGAGGUGAAAUUCUUGGAUUUAUUGAAGACUAACUACUGCGAAAGCAUUUGCCAAGGAUGUUUUCAUUAAUCAAGAACGAAAGUUAGGGGAUCGAAGACGAUCAGAUACCGUCGUAGUCUUAACCAUAAACUAUGCCGACUAGGGAUCGGAUGAUGUUAAUUUUUAAUGACUCAUUCGGCGCCUUAC
rnacentral:rRNA from 1 species